CAUUAUUAGGUGUGAAAAAUAAUAAUACCAAGGUAGUAAUAGAUAAAAUCUUGAAACUUAAAGAAUUUGGCGGUGUUUUAGUCUUUUCAGAGGAAUCUGUUCUGUAAUUGAUGAAACACGAGUGGAGUGACUUAAUUUUGUGAUCAGCUUGUAUACCGCCGUCGAAAUGAUUAUUUUGAGGAGAAGGAUAAAUUUCUGGUAAAAUAAAUAUUUUUUAUGUCAGGUCAAGGUGCAGUUUAUGAUUAAGAAGAAAUGGAUUACAAUAUAAGAAUAUAAAUUAUGGAUUUGUUUUUGAAAAAAUAGAUGAAAGUGGAUUUGAUGGUAAAUUGGCUCACUAGUUAAUUGAUUAGAGCUCUAAAACAUGCACACAUCGCCCGUCGCUCUCGUUUUAUUAUGAG
rnacentral:rRNA from 1 species